AACGAGCGCUAUCGGUAUGCUUAACACAUGCAAGUCGGACGGACUAAUUAGGGCUUGCUCCAAUUAGUUAGUGGCAGACGGGUGAGUAACACGUGGGAAUCUGCCCAUCAGUACGGAAUAACUUUUAGAAAUAAAAGCUAAUACCGUAUAUUCUCUACAGAGGAAAGAUUUAUCGCUGAUGGAUGAGCCCGCGUCAGAUUAGGUAGUUGGUGAGGUAACGGCUCACCAAGCCGACGAUCUGUAGCUGGUCUGAGAGGAUGAUCAGCCACACUGGGACUGAGACACGGCCCAGACUCCUACGGGAGGCAGCAGUGGGGAAUAUUGGACAAUGGGCGAAAGCCUGAUCCAGCAAUACCGAGUGAGUGAUAAAGGCCCUAGGGUUGUAAAGCUCUUUUAGCAAGGAAGAUAAUGACGUUACUUGCAGAAAAAGCCCCGGCUAACUCCGUG
rnacentral:rRNA from 1 species